AAACGUGAAAAAUUUGCAAAAAGGGGUAAUGAAACAAACGGAAGAAGCAAAAGCAACAAAGAAAAUUAAAAUGGACACCACCUUAUCUCUUAGUAACAACUCACAUGCACCCCAUCUCUACACUCAAGUUUUUGGCAAAAGACAGAAACGGAAAUAUUCCUUUGGGACCACUGCUUUCUAUCUCCCUUUUUCUUUCUAUAUAACACAUGCACAUACAGAAGAAGAAGAAAAAACAAGAAAAAGGGCCUAAAAAUCUGAAGGAAAACGAAAAAGAAAACAUGGGGAAGAACACACAAAUACAGAUCUGAAAAGUAAAAAGAGAAACAGAAUAGAGAACGGGGAGUUAGGAGGGGAAAAAGAGAAGGCUUCCUUCUUCUUCUUCAAGAAACUAAUCACAGCAGCCAUAGGAGAACAUAGAGCUUCACCAUUCCGUCUUCUUCUCCGGCGAAGAGCCUCAUCCUCUCUUCUAUCAGCGUCGUCGCAUCACCGGCAAAUCAGACGGCCUUCUCUCCAAAACACCCUAAAAUCUCUCGCCUUUAGCUACCAUUUACGUCAUCCCGAGCUCCAUCUUUAUCGGCAAAGAAACUCUGAAACCAGCAAUCUUCAGUAAACGAGGGUCGUCACUUGAGGUUCAAAAUUUCCGUUGAGGUUUUCGGCGAGGUGGACUCCGGGUUGAUUAACAAAGUGACAAGAUGUCAAAAAUCGGCUCAAAAAGGAGUGAAACCUGCUCAAGUAUCAAAGACCAAGAGAAGUGAAGAAAAAUGGGCCUAUUGCGGACCGCGUAACAAUGACCGCGACCACACUAGGAGGUUCAGAGGCUGGACAUUUUCGAGCCUAAGGUCACGCGGCAGCGGUAGGAUUCACGCGACCCGCGUAGAAGCUUCGUGGCCGCACUCCUUCUCUGUGCGGUUCACGUUCAUAGGGUUCAACAAAGGGUCAUUUGUCCUCAUGCGGUUUGUGGUCACGUCUGCACGGACCGCGCCAGUUUCCUUCGUGGCCGCGGUACACUCCCACGUUGUCCGCAUCCCUCAGUUCAAGUCAUCAAACAACUGAAACCCAAGAGCCAGUGCGGCCGCGGUCCGUUUUGUACGGCCUGUACUGACCCCACAGGGGUAUUUUUGUUCAGUUUUUCCAGCCUAGUAUAAAUAGAACAUUUUACUAUUUUUUUAGAGCGGAGGUCAGAUCUGAGAACAGGAGAAAAGAUACGCUUGGUGUUGUAGCCAUUUUUGGCAUAUUUGCUUCCCAUUAACAAUAGAUUAUUGUAUUUUCUUCUUA